ACACACACACAGAGUGAAAAAGGCGAGCCACCAAAACCCAUCUCCAGUCUCCUCCCGGGGGCCCCCAGCCCGCCUCUGUGCCACUUUGCAUCCCACGCCGGAGGAGGCAUUAACGAGACCGGGUAAGGUGCUGUGCUGGCCAUUGGUGACCCAAAGAUGAUGAAAAAUAUGUUCCUGCCCACAAGGAGUUAGCGACCUACUGGGCUUUCCUCUUGCUGAUGACAUGAUUCCUGUUUGAAUCUGUUGACAAGAUUCUGAAAGCUGAACAGAGAAUUCUGGCACUGCACUGGGUAGGAAAAAGCAUUUCAAGAAAUAGAUAAUAUCAAGGACAUCAGGACACCGGGAGUGGGAGAGAUUGGACUGGGAGACUCAGCAGGAUGUCUUCCAAGCGACCAGCCUCUCCGUAUGGGGAAGCAGAUGGAGAGGUAGCCAUGGUGACAAGCAGACAGAAAGUGGAAGAAGAGGAGAGUGACGGGCUCCCAGCCUUUCACCUUCCCUUGCAUGAAGUUGAUGGCAAUAAAGUUAUGUCUUCAUUUGCCCCACACAACUCAUCUACCUCACCUCAGAAGGCAGAAGAAGGUGGGCGACAGAGUGGCGAGUCCUUGUCUAGUACAGCCCUGGGAACUCCUGAACGGCGCAAGGGCAGUUUAGCUGAUGUUGUUGACACCUUGAAGCAGAGGAAAAUGGAAGAGCUCAUCAAAAACGAGCCGGAAGAAACCCCCAGUAUUGAAAAACUACUCUCAAAGGACUGGAAAGACAAGCUUCUUGCAAUGGGAUCGGGGAACUUUGGCGAAAUAAAAGGGACUCCCGAGAGCUUAGCUGAGAAAGAAAGGCAACUCAUGGGUAUGAUCAACCAGCUGACCAGCCUCCGAGAGCAGCUGUUGGCUGCCCACGAUGAGCAGAAGAAACUAGCUGCCUCUCAGAUUGAGAAACAGCGUCAGCAAAUGGAGCUGGCCAAGCAGCAACAAGAACAAAUUGCAAGACAGCAGCAGCAGCUUCUACAGCAACAACACAAAAUCAAUUUGCUCCAGCAACAGAUCCAGGUUCAAGGUCAGCUGCCGCCAUUAAUGAUUCCCGUAUUCCCUCCUGAUCAACGGACACUGGCUGCAGCUGCCCAGCAAGGAUUCCUCCUCCCUCCAGGCUUCAGCUAUAAGGCUGGAUGUAGUGACCCUUACCCUGUUCAGCUGAUCCCAACUACCAUGGCAGCUGCUGCCGCAGCAACACCAGGCUUAGGCCCACUCCAACUGCAGCAGUUAUAUGCUGCCCAGCUAGCUGCAAUGCAGGUAUCUCCAGGAGGGAAGCUGCCAGGCAUACCCCAAGGCAACCUUGGUGCUGCUGUAUCUCCUACCAGCAUUCACACAGACAAGAGCACAAACAGCCCACCACCCAAAAGCAAGGUACCCUUUUGAAGAAGCCACUGUCUUGCCACUUAGCUUUAUUUUUCAUUCAAUGGUAUUUAUUAAAUGUCUAUUGUAUGCCAGCAGCUAGCUUAAACUCUGGGUGUACAAGGAGGUAAGAAUCAAGUAAGGGCAACAGGUGUGCAUGUCAACUUAUCUGCAUACAUUGAAUCAUUCAUUUAUUCAUUUAUUCAAUAUGCGUGUAUCGAUAACUAUAGUAGAAAAUGUGAGAGAUAAAAAAGAUUAUCAGAUGGGUAUCUUGUACCCAAGGAGCUUACAGUCUGAUUAUGUAGAUAUUUAUAAAAAUAGCCAAAUAGCCAUACUCUAUGAUACAAAAUAAAUUUUGUAAAAAGUUACAGAUAAAGUACAUUGGAAGUUAUAUUGGGAGGCAGAGAUCAUCUUCAGGGAGAGAUCCCAUCAGGAGUUUGCCAGAGAAGGGAAAACUGAAAUAGACCUUAAAAUACAAGUAGAAUUAGGACCUACAGAAGGUGUUUUAAAAAUAUCAGUGACUGUUAUAAUGUGGUACAGUGUAGGUAUAAUUUUAGAUAAAUCACCCGCCCAAUGAGAUUAUCAUGUAAGGAAAUGAAGGUAAUAGUAGUGUUAGAAGUAAGGCAAUUUAGAAGUGGUUUUGGUUUUUAAGCUAAGAAAACAUUAGAACACAUGGAAAAGGAUCAGGGAAAAGUCAAAUAAUGUAUGUUUCUUGGCCUAGAAGGAGAGAAAAAUUGAUUUUAAAUUUGUAUUUGUAUUAAGAUCUUGCUUAAAUGAUAUUGUAUAAAUAUAUUAAGCUUUCCAUGCAAGAAGUAAGAAGAGUGAUCGUAAAGCAGUAUUCCUUGAGAUUACUCAGGGAAACAACCACAAAUAAUUUGAUUCUAUUAGGAAAUGUUAAGUAGAAAGCUGACGCAGUUAGUUUACCAGCAAAAUAUAUAUAUAUAUAUAUAUAUUUUAU
rnacentral:lncRNA from 1 species